CUCCUCACUAGGACUACCCUGGCCAAGAUUUUUUGCUAAAUUGAAACAUGAUUGUACACAGCUUCUGAACUGGAGUGGUCAAUCCCAUCUUGACACACGCACCGAUAAGUCAAGUACUUGACUACACCCAGCAGCCUUCCGUCACUGAAUUAGAAAUUCAGGUAGUCCAGUGCCUAAGUGCAGUGAGUUGCUUGCAAGUCACCGUGG
rnacentral:lncRNA from 1 species